rnacentral:rRNA from 1 species
AGGAACCUGCCUUGGAGAGGGGAAUAACACUCCGAAAGGAGUGCUAAUACCGCAUGAUGCAGUUGGGUCGCAUGGCUCUGACUGCCAAAGAUUUAUCGCUCUGAGAUGGCCUCGCGUCUGAUUAGCUAGUAGGCGGGGUAACGGCCCACCUAGGCGACGAUCAGUAGCCGGACUGAGAGGUUGACCAGCCACAUUGGGACUGAGACACGGCCCAG